CCUACGGGAGGCAGCAGUGGGGAAUAUUGCGCAAUGGGGGAAACCCUGACGCAGCAACGCCGCGUGAGUGAGGAAGGACUUCGGUCUGUAAAGCUCUGUUAAUGUGGAAAAAUGGCAGUUGGUCUAAUAGGCCGAUUGUUUGAUGGUACACAUAGAGGAAGCACCGGCUAACUUCGUGCCAGCAGCCGCGGUAAUACGAAGGGUGCAAGCGUUGUUCGGAUUUAUUGGGCGUAAAGCGCGCGUAGGCGGACCUGCAAGUCAGAUGUGAAAUCUCGGGGCUCAACCUCGAAACUGCGUCUGAAACUACAGGUCUAGAAUCUCGGAGGGGGAAGGGGAAUUUCGCAUGUAGGGGUAAAAUCCGUAGAUAUGCGAAGGAACACCAGAGGCGAAGGCGCCUUCCUGGACGAGUAUUGACGCUGAGGCGCGAAAGCGUGGGGAUCAAACAGGAUUAGAUACCCUGGUAGUCCACGCUGUAAACUAUGAACACUAGGUAUUGGAGGAUUUGACCCCUUCAGUGCCGUAGCUAACGCGUUAAGUGUUCCGCCUGGGAAAGUACGGUCGCAAGACUAAAACUCAAAAGGAAUUGACCGGNNGAGAGNGACGACGACGACGACGAGGAGGAGG
rnacentral:rRNA from 1 species